CGCACACACACACACGAUAUUGCAUUCAAGAAAAAUUGCAUUAAUGAUAAAUAUGUAUAGGAUAUAGAAUUUUGUUAAUGUCUUUCACCAGAAAGGUGAGAGGAAAUUUAAGUGAUACUUUUAGGCUUUAGGCUUUGCUUUAGGGGAAUGGAGCUUUACUUUCUACUACCUUGAGGAAGAAGAAUUCUAGGUUCUCUGACUCUCAAAGUCAAGAAGAGGAACAACUCAGGAGAAGCUCAGACAGGUCUGGUUGGUUCUGAGACCACUUCUCAGAUCUUCCAGUGUCUUUCAGUUCAAUAGUACUCAGUAUGGCUGUGCCAUAUUUAAGGAUGUUAUUUUCUGAGCCCCAAUAGAGCAAUGGAUGGAUGGAGGGGAAGACAGUGGAAGACUGUAAGAGGGCCUUGUGAUCUAUUUGAAAGGUUAGUUUUUUUAAAAUCUUAAAUGAGAUGGGGGGCAGAUUUGGAGGAUUUUAAUUUGAGAAGAGCCAAUACCUGACAUUUUAACUUGAUGGUUCUGGCUUCUGUGUUGUAAAUAGAAUGUAGAGAGGUUAGAGUGGAAAGCCAGUUUUUAGGUUCUUAGAAUAGCAAAGAUGAUAGUGGCUUAACCUGGAGUGGUGAGGGUAGAGGUGGUGAGAAGUACUUGGAUUUAGGAUGUAUUUUGAAGUUGUUGUUGACAGAAUUUCUGAUGGAUUGAUGUGUGGUUUGAAAGAAAAAUUAGUGCCAAGGAUUAUUUUAGAUUUACUGGUCUCAGCAACU